GGGCCUGUAGUUAAGUGGUACAACGCUGCAUUCGCAUUGCAGAGGCGGGAGUCCGAUUCUCCCCAGGUCCACCA
rnacentral:tRNA from 1 species